UGCCUUACACAUGCAAGUCGAACGGCAGCACGGGGGCAACCCUGGUGGCGAGUGGCGAACGGGUGAGUAAUACAUCGGAACGUGUCCUGUCGUGGGGGAUAACCAGUCGAAAGACUGGCUAAUACCGCAUGAGAUCGAGAGAUGAAAGCAGGGGACCGCAAGGCCUUGCGCGAUUGGAGCGGCCGAUGUCGGAUUAGCUUGUUGGCGGGGUAAAAGCCCACCAAGGCGACGAUCCGUAGCUGGUUUGAGAGAACGACCAGCCACACUGGGACUGAGACACGGCCCAGACUCCUACGGGAGGCAGCAGUGGGGAAUUUUGGACAAUGGGGGCAACCCUGAUCCAGCCAUCCGCGUGUGUGAAGAAGGCCUUCGGGUUGUAAAGCGC
rnacentral:rRNA from 1 species